rnacentral:rRNA from 1 species
GAUGAACGCUGGCGGCGUGCCUAAUACAUGCAAGUCGAGCGAACAGACGAGGAGCUUGCUCCUCUGACGUUAGCGGCGGACGGGUGAGUAACACGUGGAUAACCUACCUAUAAGACUGGGAUAACUUCGGGAAACCGGAGCUAAUACCGGAUAAUAUAUUUAACCGCAUGGUUCAAUAGUGAAAGACGGUUUUGCUGUCACUUAUAGAUGGAUCCGCGCCGCAUUAGCUAGUUGGUAAGGUAACGGCUUACCAAGGCAACGAUGCGUAGCCGACCUGAGAGGGUGAUCGGCCACACUGGAACUGAGACACGGUCCAGACUCCUACGGGAGGCAGCGGUAGGGAAUCUUCCGCAAUGGGCGAAAGCCUGACGGAGCAACGCCGCGUGAGUGAUGAAGGUCUUCGGAUCGUAAAACUCUGUUAUUAGGGAAGAACAAAUGUGUAAGUAACUAUGCACGUCUUGACGGUACCUAAUCAGAAAGCCACGGCUAACUACGUG